UACGUAGGGUGCAAGCGUUAAUCGGAAUUACUGGGCGUAAAGCGUGCGCAGGCGGUUUUGUAAGUCUGACGUGAAAUCCCCGGGCUUAACCUGGGAACUGCAUCCGACACUGGUCGGCUUGAAUCCGGGAGAGGGAUGCAGAAUUCCAGGUGUAGCGGUGAAAUGCGUAGAUAUCUGGAGGAAUACCGGUGGCGAAGGCGGCAUCCUGGACCGGCAUUGACGCUGAAAAGCGAAAGCUAGGGGAGCAAACGGG
rnacentral:rRNA from 1 species